AACGAACGCUGGCGGCAGGCUUAACACAUGCAAGUCGAACGCGUGCAGCAAUGCACGAGUGGCGCACGGGUGAGUAACGAGUGGAUAUCUGCCUUUUGGUUCGGAAUAACCCCGGGAAACUGGGGCUAAUACCGGAUGGUUCCUACGGGAUAAAGAUUUAUCGCCAAAAGAUGAGUCCGCGUCCGAUUAGCUAGUUGGUGAGGUAAUGGCUCACCAAGGCGACGAUCGGUAGCUGGUCUGAGAGGACGAUCAGCCACACUGGGGCUGAGACACGGCCCAGACUCCUACGGGAGGCAGCAGUGGGGAAUAUUGGACAAUGGGGGCAACCCUGAUCCAGCCAUGCCGCGUGAGUGAUGAAGGCCUUCGGGUUGUAAAGCUCUUUUGGCGGGGACGAUGAUGACGGUACCCGCAGAAUAAGCCCCGGCUAACUUCGUG
rnacentral:rRNA from 1 species